rnacentral:rRNA from 1 species
GACGAACGCUGGCGGCGUGCUUAACACAUGCAAGUCGAGCGAUGAAGUUUCCUUCGGGAAACGGAUUAGCGGCGGACGGGUGAGUAACACGUGGGUAACCUGCCUCAUAGAGUGGAAUAGCCUUUCGAAAGGAAGAUUAAUACCGCAUAAUGUUGAAAGAUGGCAUCAUCAUUCAACCAAAGGAGCAAUCCGCUAUGAGAUGGACCCGCGGCGCAUUAGCUAGUUGGUGGGGUAACGGCCUACCAAGGCGACGAUGCGUAGCCGACCUGAGAGGGUGAUCGGCCACAUUGGGACUGAGACACGGCCCAGACUCCUACGGGAGGCAGCAGUGGGGAAUAUUGCACAAUGGGGGAAACCCUGACGCAGCAACGCCGCGUGGGUGAUGAAGGUUUUCGGAUCGUAAAGCUCUGUCUUUGGGGAAGAUAAUGACGGUACCCAAGGAGGAAGCCACGGCUAACUACGUGCCAGCCGCCGCGGUAACAC